AGCAGUCGCCGCGGGAAUACGAAGAGUGCAAGCGUUAAACGGAAUUACUGGGCGUAAAGCGUGCGCAGGCGGUUUGUUAAGACAGAUGUGAAAUCCCCGGGCUCAACCUGGGAACUGCAUUUGUGACUGGCAAGCUAGAGUGUGGCAGAGGGGGGUGGAAUUCCGCGUGUAGCAGUGAAAUGCGUAGAUAUGCGGAGGAACACCGAUGGCGAAGGCAGCCCCCUGGACCAACACUGACGCUCAUGCACGAAAGCGUGGGGAGCAAACAGGAUUAGAUACCCCCGUAGUCCCUGUCUCUUAUAC
rnacentral:rRNA from 1 species